CGCCUCUCAUCGAUCGUUCUUCUCGCCGGGCGCGCCCGCGCGUGCUCCCCCGCCCUACGGUUUGUGCCGGCUGGGUUGGGCUCGACCGCGCGGCGCUGUGGCACUAGCGGUCAGGUCACAGGAACCAGAGCAUUGUACUGUGACUCCUGUACAUUCAUUUGCUUGGGAUUCGACCGGGCAUGUAAAUCUCACCCACUUCGCCUAAUGUUUUGAGACCAUAAUAUAGGGACUGCUAGCCAAGAACCAUAACUCGGUUUAUUGGAGUCAGAAUGACCGUUUUUUCCUCUCCAUGAAACUGACUUGAGUCAAAUACAUUUAAUUUUUUGAUAAUUACAUUUGUUGCAAGCUUAUAUUGUAGUGCCUUGGAAUUUUGAAACAAUCAAAUGGGGACAACAGCACGGGCCUACCUUAUGCUCGACAUCUUAGAACAUCUCUAGCAGACCCCGUAUAACGUCGUGACUUGCAAAAUAACCGUCAAAAUACGGGUCUGCGCGAAAAAUCCUGCCCGACCAGACACCGCAAACGCGGCCGAUCCGUAAAAAAAUUUGUGGGGCGUGGCAUAAUUCCCGUCCCAACCAACGAAAACGCGGGUUCCCCCCUCGACCCGUCGGCGCCCUGUAUAUAGGGGUAGCGGUUGGCGGUGGUGGUGGUGGUGGGGGGGGGGGGACACUUCAGCCUGCGCUUUUUCCCACUGAUAACCCACAAGUAUAAAGGAUCGCAAUAGUUUUCGAGGGUAGAGUAUUCAACCCAAAAUUAUUGAUUCAACACAAGGGAGCCAAAGAAUAUUCUCAAAUAUUAGCAGCUGAGUUGUCAAUUCAACCACACCUGAAAGACUUAAUAUCUACAACAAAGUAUUUAGUAGCAAAAUAGUAUGGAAGUAACGGUAACGGUGGCAAAAGUAACAGUAGCAGUUUUGUAACAGUCGUAACAGUGGCAGAAAAGUAACUUAGCAAAGAUCAAUAUGUGAAAAGCUCAUAGGCAAUGGAUCAAUGAUGGAUAAUUAUGUUGGAUGGCAUUCAUCAUGUGAUGGUUAUAACAUAGGAUGACACAGAACUAGCUCCAAUUCAUCAAUAUAAUAUAGGCAUGUAUUCCGAAUAUAGUCAUACGUACUUAUGGAAAAAAACUUGCAGAACAUCUUUUAUCCUAUCCUCCUGUGGCAGCGGGGUUCUAUCGGAAACUAAGGGAUAUUAAUGCCUCCUUUUAAUAUAGUAUCGGAUCAAAACAUUAGCACUUAGUGAAUACACGAACUCCUCAAACUACGGCCAUCACCGGGAAGUGUCCCGACUAUUGUCACUCCGGGGUUGCCGGAUCAUAACACGUAGUAGGUGACUAUAACUUGCAAUAUCGGAUCAAGAACACAAAUAUAUUCAUGAAAACAUACUAGGUUCCGAUCUGAAAUCAUGGCACUAGGGACCUAGUGACAAGCAUUAGGCAUAGCAAAGUCAUAGCAACAUCAUCUUAGAACAUAGUGGAUACUAGGGAUCAAACCCUAACAAAACUAACUCGAUUACAUGGUAAAUCUCAUCUAACCCAUCACCGUCCAGCAAGCCUAUGAUGGAAUCACUCACGCACGGCGGUGAGCAUCAUGAAAUUGGUGAUGGAGGAUGGUUGAAGAUGAUGAUGGCGACGGAUUUCCCUCUCCGGAGCCCAAAACAGACUCCAGAUCUGCCCUCCCGAGGAAGAACAGGGCUUGGCGGCGGCUCCGUAUUAUAAAACGCGAUGAAUCAUUCUCUUUGAUUUUUUUCUCCCGAACGUGAAUAUAUGGAGUUGGAGUUGAGGUCGGUGGAGGUCCAGGGGGCCCACGAGGACGGAGGGCGUGCCCCAGGGGGUGGGCGUGCCCCGCAACCUUGUGGCCAAGGUGUGGGCCCCCUUCACUUGAUUCUUUUGCCAAUAUUUUUUAUUAAUUCCCAAAAUCAUCUCCAUGAAGUUUCAGGUCAUUCCGAGAGUUUCUAUUUUUGCACAAAAAUAACACCAUGGCAAUUCUGCUGAAAACAACGUCACUCCGGGUUAGUUCUAUUCAAAUCAUGUAAGUUAGAGUCCAAAACAAGGAAAAAAGAGUUUGGAAAAGUAGAUAUGAUGGAGACGUAUCAACUCCCCCAAGUUUAACCCAUUGCUUGUCCUCAAGCAAUUCAUUUGACAAACUGAAAGUGAUAAAGAAAAACUUUUACAAACUCUAUUUGAUCUUGUUGUUGCAAAUAUGUAAAGUCGACAUUCAAGUUUUCAGCAAAGAUUAUGAAUUAACCAUAUUCACAAUAACAUUUAGGUCUCACAUUUACUCAUAUCAAUGGCAUAAUCAACUAGCGAGUAAUAAUAAUAAAUCUCGGAUGACAACACUUUUUCAAAACAAUCAUGAUAUGAUAUAACAAAAUGGUAUCUCGCUAGCCCUUUCUGAGACCGCAAAACAUAAAUGCAGAGCACCCCUGAAGAUCAAGGACUGACUAGACAUUGUAAUUCAUGGUAAGAAAUAUCCAGUCAUAGUCAUACUCAAUAUAAAUUAAUAACAAUGCAUACAAAUGACAAUGGUGCUCUCUAAUCGACGCUUUUUAUAAGAGGAUGAUGACUCAGCAAUAAAAGUAAAUAGAUAGGCCCUUCGCAGAGGGAAGCAGGGAUUUGCAACGAUGCUAGAGAGCUUGAGUUUUAAAAUAGAGAAAUAAUAUUUUGAGCGGUAUGCUUUCAUUGUCAACAUAACAACCAAGAGAUCUCGGUAUCUUCCAUGCUACAUACAUUACAGUCGGUUCCCAAACAAAAUGGUAAAGUUUAUACUCCCCCACCACCAACAAGCACACUCCAUGGCUGGUCCGAAACAACGGGUACCGUCCAACUAACAACAGUCCUGGGGAAGUUUUGUUUGCAAUUAUUUUGAUUUGAUUUGAGCAUGGGACUAGUCAUCCCGAUUACUAGCCCUUUUCUCGUGAAUGAUGAGCGGAGUCCACUCAUCGUGAGAAUAACCCACCUAGCAUGGAACAUAUUGACAGCCCUAGUUGGUACAUGAGAGAUUCGAACAUACAAAACAGAUUAUGAUCUGAAGGUUUAGAGUUUGGCACAUGCAAAUUUACUUGGAACGGCAGAUAAAUACCGCAUAUAGGAAGGUAUGGUGGACUUAUAUGGAACAACUUUCGGUUUUAUGGAAGUGCAUGCAAAAGCAGUAUUCCCGUUUAGUACAAGUGAAGACUAGAAAGAGACUGGGAACCGACCAACUAGAGAGCGACAACAGUCAUAAACAUGCAUUAAGAUUAACCAACAUUGAAUGCAGGCAUGAGUAGGAUAUAAAUCACCAUGAACAUAAAUAUCGUGGAGGCUAUGUUGAUUUUCUUUCAACUACAUGUGUGAACAUGUGCCAAGUCAAGCCACUCGAAUCAUUCAAAGGAGGAUACCAUCCUAUCAUACUACAUCACAACCAUUUUAAUAGCAUGUUGGCACGCAAGGUACACCAUUAUAAACUCCUAGCUAGUUAAGCAUGGCAUGAGUAACUAUAAUCUCUAAUUGUCAUUGCAAACAUGUUUCAUUCAUAAUAGGCCGAAUCAGGAAUGAUGAACUAAUCAUAUUUACAAAAACAAGAUAGGUCGAGUUCAUACCAGCUUUUCCUCAUCUCAAUCAUUUCAUCAAAUAUCGUCAUUAUUGCCUUUCACUUGCACAACCGAACGGUGUGGAUAACAAUAAUAGUGCAUGUGCAUUAGACUAAGCUGGAAUCUGCAAACAUUUAUUCAAAGGAGAAGACAAGGUAAUAUGGGCUCUUUGUUAGAUCAACAAUAAUGCAUAUGAGAGCCAUUCAACAUUUUCACCGUGGUCUUCUCCUCUCGACCCCCAAAGAAAAGAAAAGAAUUUCAAAGAAACACACUGAAAUGUUUUUGGACUUUUUGUUUUUCUAAAGGAAGUAAAACAAGAACGAGAAAAACUAUUUACACGGGAAAACUCCCAACAAGCAAAAGAAGAACGAGAAAUCUUUUUGAGUUUUCUUUUAAUACUACAACUAAGAAGAACGGUAAAUUUUUGUGAAGUGGGGGAGAUGCAAACGAGAGGCAAAUGGCAAAUAAUGUAAAUUGCGAGGAGAUGCGAUUUGUGAUUAGGAACCUAGUAGAUGUUGAAGAUCCUCCCCGGCAACGGCGCCAGAAAUUCACUUUGAUGUCGCUUGAAGCUACGUCGGUAUUUCUCCAAAGAGGAAGGGAUGAUGCAACACAGUGAUGGUAGGUAUUUCCCUCAGAUAUGAAACCAAGGUUUUCAAACCAGUAGGAGAACCAAGCAACACAACGUAAACAACCCCUGCACACAAAUAACAAAUACUCGCAACCCGAUGUGUUAAAGGGGUUGUCAAUCCCUUUCGGGUAACGGUGCCAAAAAGUGGUGCGUUGAUGGGAGAAAGCUGUAAAUAUUGAUAGAUCGAACGCAAAAUAAAAUAAAUUGCAGCAAGGUAUUUUUGUAUUUUUGGUUUAGUAGAUCUAAAAAUAAAAGGUAAAUAAAAUAGAUCGCGAAGGCAAAUAAUAUGAGAAAGAGAUCCGGGGGCCGUAGGUUUCACUAGUGGCUUCUCUCGAGAAAAAUAGCAAACGGUGGGUAAACAAAUUACUAUUGGGCAAUUGAUAUAACUUCAAAUACUCAUGACAAUAUCCAGGCAAUUAUCAUUAUAUAGGCAUCACGUCCAAGAUUAGUAGACCGACUCCUGCCUGCAUCUACUACUAUUACUCCACACAUCGACCUCUAUCCAGCAUGCAUCUAGUGUAUUAAGUUCAUGGAUAAACGGAGUAAUGCAAUAAGAACAAUGACAUGAUGUAGACAAGAUCUAUCUAUGUAGAGAUAGAACCCAUCGUUUUAUCCUUAGUAGCAACGAUACAUACGUGUCGGUUCCCCUUCUGUCACUGGGAUCAAGCACCGUAAGAUCAAACCCACUACAAAGCACCUCUUCCCAUUGCAAGAUAAAUAGAUCAAAUUGUCCAAACAAAACCCAAAUAUCAGAGAAGAAAUACGAGACUAUAAGAAAUCAUGCAUAUAAGAGAUCAAAGAAACUCAAAUAACUUUCAUGGAUAUAAAAAGAUAGAUCUGAUCAUAAACUCAAAGUUCAUCCAAUCCCAACAAACACAUGCAAAAAGAAUUACAUCAUAUGAAUCUCCAAGAGACCAUUGUAUUGAGAAUCAAAUGAGAGAGAGAGAGAGGAAGACAUCUAGCUACUAACUAUGGACCGGAAGGUCUACAAAGAAUUAUUCACGCAUCAUCAGAGAGGCACCAAUGGAAGUGAUGAACCCCUCUGUGAUGGUGUCUAGAUUGGAUCUGGUGGUUCUGGACUUUACGGCGGCUGGAAUUGUUUUUCAUCGACUCUCCUAGGGUUUCUGGAUUAUUGGGGUAUUUAUAGAGCAAAGAGGCGGUCCGGGGGGUCACCCGAGGUGGGCACAACCCACCAGAGCGCGCCUGGGCCUCCUGGCACGCCCUAGUGGGUUGUGCUCUCCUUGGAGCACCCUCCAGGCGCAGCCUUGGCCCAUUAGGUGUCUUCUGGUCCAUAAAAAAUCUCGGUAAAGUUUCAUUGCAUAUGGACUCCAUUUGGUAUUGAUUUUCUGUGAUCAAACAUGCAAAAAAUAGCAACUAUCACUUGGCACUAUGUCAAUAGGUUAGUACCAAAAAAUGAUAUAAAAUGAUUAUAAAACAUCCAUGAUUGAUAAUAUAACAUCAUGGAAUAGUCAAAAAUUAUAGAUACAUUGGAGAUGUAUCAGCAUCCCCAAGCUUAACUCCUACUCGUCCUCGAGUAGGUAAGUGAUAAAAACAGAAUUUUUUAUGUGGAAUGCUGCCUAUCAUGUCAUACCAUAUUCUUUUCUUUAUAGCAUCGUCAUUUGGACUUUUAUAUUGUUGAAAGCAAUAGUCUAGUUUUGACAUCAUAACUUAAAUACUCAAGCAUAUCAACAGGCAACCAUGUCUUUCAAAAUAUCAAUGCUAAAAUAAGCUAUCCCUAGCCCAUCAUGCUCAAUCAUUGAUCCAUUCAUGAAACACACUCGCAUAUUAACUACACCAAUGCUCAAGUACGAUCAUAGUGCCUCCUAGUUGGUGCUUCUAUAAGAGAGGAUGGAGACUCAAAAUAAAAAAUAAAAAUUGCAUAAAGUAAAAGAAAGGCCCUUCGCAGAGGAAAGUAGGGAUUUGUAGAGGUGCCAGAGCUCAAAGCGAAAAACUUAGAGAAAAAACAUUUUGGGAGGUGUGUCCUUCCCACCAACGAAAACGACUUAGAGUUCCCAACACUUUCCAUGCUAGAUAUAUCAUAGGUGGUUCCCAAUCAGAAAAUAAAGUUUAUUCAUUUUUUCACCAUACUUUCACUUUCCAUGGCUAACCAUAUCCACGGGUGCCUUCCAUACAACACUUUCCAAGGAAUUUAUUAUUUCACAACAUAAAGUAAAUUCAAUUUUCAUUUCGGUAUUGGCCAUCUCUAAUACCUUUGCCAUACUCUCGUGCAAUGACAAGUGAAUAAACACCCAUUGUGAGAAUAACACAUCUAGCACGGAAAAUAUUAGCCACCCCUCACCGCUCCGCGAGCGAAACGAACACACAAAAGAGAAGUUUAUUUUGAAAAUUAGAGAUGGCACAUACAAAUUUGCUUAUAACGGCAAAGAAUACAACAUAUAGGUAGAUAUAGUGGAUUCAUGUGGCAAAACUGGUUUAAAGGUUUUGAGAUGCACAAGUAGUGAUCAUACUUAGUGCAAAAUAAAGGCUAGCAAAAGAUUGAGAAGCGACCAACCAAGAAACGAAUAAUCUCAUAAGCGAGCAUUAAGCAUAAUUAACACCAAAUAAUGCACCACAAGUAGGAUAUACUUUCAUUGCAUAAUUAUUGACUUUCGUGCUUGCAUAGGGAAUCACACACCUUAACACCAAUAUUCUUACUAAAUCAUAAUUACUCAUCAACAUAACUCACAUAUCACAUUAUCAUAUCUCAAAACUAUUACUAAGAAUCAAGUUUAUUUUGCACAAUGAUCUUCAUGAAAGUUUUUAUUAUAUCCUUCUUGGAUAUCUAUCACUUUGGGACUAAUUUUCAUAUGUUGCUUUUGAUAAGCUCAAACAAAUAUAAGUGAAGAUCAUGAGCAUAAUUUUUACUUUCUCUCAAAUUAAUUUAAGUGAAGCAAGAGAGAAUUUCUUGAAAAUUUUACUAACUCUCAAAUAAAUCUAAGUGAAGCAAGAGAGCAUUUCUUCAAAAAUACUAAAGCACACCAUGCUCAAAAAUAUAUAAGUGAAGCACUAGAGCAAGUCCAUAGCUCAUAAAAAUUUAAGUGAAGCAUAGAGAGCAAUUCUAUCAAGUCAUGGCAUAAUUUUGGCUCUCUCAAAUAGGUGUGUACAGCAAGGAACGAAGACUAAAAACACAAAAUAAAACAAGCAAAGUCUCAUAUCAUACAAGACGCUCCAAGGAAAACACAUAGUUUGUGAUGUAUAAAAAUAUAGCUUCGAGUAAAAUAUCGAUGGUCGUUAGAAGGAAGAGGGGAUGCCCCGAGGGGCAUCCCCAAGCUUAGUUGCUUGCUCUCUUUUGGAUAAUAGCUUGGGAUGCCGGGGCAUCCCCAAGCUUAGGCUCUUCUUACUCCUUAUUCCCUCAUCCAUCGUAAGAUAACCCAAAACUUGAAAACUUCAAUCACACACAACUCAACAAAAGUCUUUGUGAGAUCCAUUAGUAUAAGACCCGUUAUACAUUGAGUCAAAUACAUUUAAAUUUUUGAUAAUUACAUUUGUUGCAAGCUUACAUUAUAGUGCCUUAGAAUUUUUUAAACAAUCAAAUGGGGACAACAGCGG
rnacentral:lncRNA from 1 species